UUCUUUGCUGGCGACCGGCGCACGGGUGAGUAGCACGUAUCCAACCUGCCCUUUACUCGGGGAUAGCCUUUCGAAAGAAAGAUUAAUACCCGAUAGUAUAAUGAUUCCGCAUGGUUUCAUUAUUAAAGGAUUCCGGUAAAGGAUGGGGAUGCGUCCCAUUAGGUUGUUGGUGAGGUAACGGCUCACCAAGCCUUCGAUGGAUAGGGGUUCUGAGAGGAAGGUCCCCCACAUUGGAACUGAGACACGGUCCAA
rnacentral:rRNA from 1 species